rnacentral:lncRNA from 1 species
UGAAGACUGCCAGUCCUAUACAUGUGUCCGGUCAGGUAGGCUUCUGAAGUCUUGCCUUUGUGGUAGUGUGCUGGAGAGAAGGCUAUGAGGACAGGUGUCCUGGGGUGGCCUGAGCUGUGCUUAUACCAGCAGCCCUUCUUUUCAUUCUAGGAGCCUCUGCAGGCCACACUUACCUUUGCAGUCUGUGGGCUGGGCAGCCUUCUCCAUGGCACCUGCAGACUGGGUGGCUGAUAUGCUAGCUGGUGGUGGGCAUGGUGGUGAUGGUGGUGGUGAUGGUAGUGGUGGGCAUGGUGGCAAUGGUGGUGGAGGUGGUGGUCCUAUGUCUCUUAAGUGCCAUGGGAGUGUGGAAGGCACCUCCUCAUCAGGUCUUCAUGGGCUGAGGACUUGCCUUGGUGAUUCCAAAUUCCAGAAGUGUCCUUCACCUUGAUGGAGGGACAUAGCUUUGGGUGUCAAGCACUCUGCUGGAGUUUCAGAGUUCUGGGCUCUUUAGCAGUGAACAGUGUAUUGCCUCCUGAGGUUGGUCCAUACAUUGCCCUCAGGCUCGGGCUGUGCUGCUCUCGGGUUAUUCUCAGAUGAAGGGUGUGUCCUGGUCUACCAAGGCAGAGCUACCUUAUCUUGUUGGUUUCCUGUGUGCAUCCAUCCAUCUGGUUCUUCAUAACUGCCUCUCAGGGCUGUCUCUUAUACUGGGGCUUUGUCAGGUUAAAUUCAGGUUCCGUUAUUUGGUUCUUUCCUGUUCUUAGAGUCAUGGGGUAGCUCAGUUUGAAUGUUCCUUUCUCAAGAUAGCACCUGGCCACUUAGCACAGGGUGAAUAUGGGAUCCCACCAAGACUUGGAGGGUAUGCUCGGGUUCUCUAGAGGAACAGAACUGACAGAAUGAAUAUCUGUCUGUCUAUCCAUCCAUCUGUUAUCUAUAUCUAUCUUCAUCUAUUUAUCUAUUUAUCUAUCUAAAGGGGAUGACAGGCUGUGGUCCAGCUAGUCCAACAAUGACUGUCUCCGAUGGCUAAUCCAAGAAUCCAGUAGUCUUUCAGUUUGUGAGACUGGGUGUCUCAGAGGUCUUCAGUAUACACCAGAAUCCCCAAGAGGGCUCUCAUGACAGUGGUGGAUGACCUUGCCAGUGACAGUGAAGUCAGAGGGCAGAAGCUUGCUUUUCCCACGUCCUUUAGAUAGGCUGCCACCAGAAGUGGCCUGAUUUAGGGCGGGUCUUCCCAACUGCAUGAGUUUUAGUUAAGUCUAGAUAUAGUCAAGUUGACAACCAAGAAUAGCCACUACACAGAGUAAAUACGGAAUUCCUUUACAGAAGACUCACUACCUCAAAACCUGCAACUGAAUCUGAGGUCCCUGAGAGCCAGGGGCUUGCCUUCAGGGUAGGAUUUUCAGGUUCUCUUCACCUGGGUACCACCCCGUGUGACUGCGUCUGUAUUUGGCUUGGCUUACAUUGUCUGGCUUUCUGCCUGUACUUACCAGCUGUACUCCACGACUUCUUUGACUUUCCCUAGGCUUCUCUGUUCUCUGUUUGCAAAAGUCGGCUUUGUCUUGAAUUUCCUCUUCUCCUCACCCGGGCCAUAUAGAGGCAGUUUCUGGCCUCUCAUCUUACCUGGAAAUCUGUUGUUUUUAUUUAUUAUUGUAGAAGUGCAUGAUGGGAAGGGUGGUGCACCUGAGAUCCUAGCAACGGGGAGAUGGAAGCUGAAAGAUAGCGAAUCUGAUGUCAGCCAGCAGUGAGAUCUGUCUCAAAAACAACACCCAAAAAAGGGAGGGGUGGCGGCCAGAGAUACAGCCUCAUGGCUAAAGCCUUGGCUUUACAAGCAUGAGGAGUGGGGUUCAUAUCCCCAGAACCCAUGUCAAAGUUGGCCAGGUGUGGUGGCUGCUCGAACUCCCUAUACUCUAAAGAUAGAGGAGAUUGCUGACAAGCUGGCUGGCUCGAAAAGCCAAAUGUGUGAGCUUCCAGUUCAGGGAGAGACAACACCUACGUACAUAAAGUGGGAAGCAGUCAAGGAAACCACCUGACAACAACUUCAUACUUACACACACACACACACACACACACACACACACACACACACGUAUCCACACACAUGCAUCCAUGCAUGCAUCCAUGUAUGCACGCCACACAUAUACAUGGACAAGACAAACCAUCCAUGUUUCUGCAUUCUAUAUUUCUAUAGGGAUGUUACCAAGCAUAGUUCAACACAAAUAAGGAAUAUUAAAUCUAAUCACCCCACUAUAGAAGCUGUUAACACCGUGAUGUAUAGUUUUCUGGACUGAUCCUCAUUUAUGUUGUGUAUUCUCAUUUUGCAGGUGAGGAUAAGCUUAGGGAAGGUGGGUAUUUGUAUGUGUCUUCCUUUCACCACACACACACACACACACACACACACACACACACACACACACACACAAUUUGAGGUACUGGGUUGAUUCAGCCGUAUGGGGAACAAUGACCUCAGGCUCCUACUUUGAAAUCAUGUGACUUACUUCUUCAGCUAAUGAAACUUUUUGAGCUAGAAUCCAAUGGCUGGCCAUAGUGGGCACACCCAUGACCCUACUACUCAGGAGUCCGAGUUGGGAGCGUUUGGCUUCCUGGGUGACAUACCUAUCUCAAAAAGCCACCCUUGGCCCCGCAUGCCCCUCUGUCCCUCCAUCUUUCUUUCUCCAAGAAUCCUGUCUUGAGAGCCAGGAGACAUAAGCUGGCUCUGGGAAACUGUUCCGGGGGUAGACUGUGAACAGGAAGCAUAAGGAAUCCUGACAGAGCUAAGGACAGAUGGACAGGCUUUCUGAUGCCACAUUCUGAUGCCCAAUGUAACAGAUGACAAUUAGCAGCCACCAGCUGUUAAGUGACUGUGAAUAAAAUUAGUCUUUUUUUUUAUAUAUAAAACUCAUUUAGC